UCUCGGAAGCUAUCCCAAGCCCAGUGG
rnacentral:sRNA from 1 species